GUCCACGCCCUAAACGAUGUCAACUAGGUGUUGGGGAAGGAGACUUCUUUAGUACCGCAGCUAACGCGCUAAGUUUACCGCCUGGGGAGUACGGUCGCAAGAUUAAAACUCAAAGGAAUUGACGGGGACCCGCACAAGCGGUGGAUUAUGUGGAUUAAUUCGAUGCAACGCGAAAAACCUUACCUACCCUUGACAUGUCCGGAAGUUGCCAGAGAUGGCUUCGUGCCCGAAAGGGAACCGGAACACAGGUGCUGCAUGGCUGUCGU
rnacentral:rRNA from 1 species